CAAAUGGUGUACUAUAAGUGAAAAUUAUGCACUAUAGCUUGCUCUCAAACAUCUCAACAACUGGACAAAGAAAGUAGUCUCCAUGACAUAGAGGCCACCUUUUGUAAAUAGUAUAUUUUGGGCAAUUCCAUGCCUUUUAUUAGUGAGAUGAGAGAGAUGGGAAGGACUCCCUGGCUCAACUCAAACCAGAUAUGUUAUGGUUCAUAUACGUUGCCUUUAACUCUAAAUUUUAAAACCGUGCCGCAUUACCCCUGCAAGGGAUGACACAAUAUAAUCACUAUUCACAAGUGUCCAAUGUCCCAAUUUACUAUUCACUACACAGCACACUAUUGAGUGUCUAUUAUAAACGGAAUAACGAAUGAGUAAGCGAGGGAGUGAUUUCAGACAGCCUCUGUCGAAACAUCUUAAGGAUGUUAUUAAAACAUUUAGUGUUAAGUGUGUUCAACACUCAUGAAACCAGAAUUGCCAGCUGGGAGCGACCUAUGACCAUGUAAACCCAAGUCUCCGCUUUGUAUCUUGAAUAUCUACGGCCUCAUUAAGCUUUUUAAUGUUCUGGGUGGCACCAGAGACAUAUUUGGGCAUUUGAGCACCGCUACGGUCCUGAACGAGGUAUCUAGGCUUGACUCCGUUAGAAAUGGGACCGAGCCCUCCUCCAACCCCUUCCCCUGCGGCUUUGCAAAGUGGAAACACAUUUCGCUGAGCCUCCGCCGCUGCGCUGAUGAUGUGCCGUGAAUACUGUUGAAACAGGUUUUCCUCUUCAGCGAUGAGCUCUGCGGUCUUCACUUCAAACUCAUGUUCCUCUCUUCUCAGCUGCUGAUGCCGGGCACUUUUUUGAGCCUAUAUUUAAAGGAUGAAAGACAAAUGUCAAACUACCACCAAACCCAAAUUGUUAAUUUUUGCAAUGAUGUGUGACGGGUUUUAACAUUACCAUUUGUGUGGCAUGGAAUUCUUGUAGUUUUCUUCUUUCUUCCUUGAUCCUCUGAGUCUUCAGUUGUUGUUUCUCGGAAAAUAUUCUGUCAGCCUGUUUCUUGGCCUGAAGUCUGUCUCGGGUGUUCUGUUCGUCCAUUUUGUCCCUCUGCUCCUUUUCCAGUCUCUGAUGAGACAGUGUGUGUUACAGGUGUGAGAACAUUGUGUUAGCUGCAGCUGGAGUCUCAGGUGAAACCAGAUUUCACUGCAGCUAUACCACGAAAAAAAUAUGUGACAAACUUUUUUUUAACCCACAGGUGCAGCAUCUGAACGUGUGUUACCAGGAAUUCUCUGUGUGCAGCGAUCGACUCCAACAUCGCAGCCUUCUUCUCCUCCUCCUCCCUCUGCCACUGUGCCUGUUUUGCAUCCCGCUCAGCGACAGCCUUUGCAGUCCGCUGCUCCUCCGUGUCAGUUUGCUCCUGCUGUGUGACGGUCAGCUUGUCCAUGAUCCUCUCUCUGUGCAUCUGGGCCUCUCUGAAGAAUGAAACAACUCACAAGCGUGAUCGAUAUACACUAGGGAUCCGUCGUUAGGAGAGAAAAAGUUUCCUUUGCUCCUCUUCAGCAUUCUGUUUUUGUGCAUCUGCCGCUCUUAUGAUGUCUCUAUUGGUGAUAUGUUCCUGAAUACAGAGUAUACAGUAGUGAACAUAUGUUUUAUAAAAUAAGGAUACAAAUACUAGAUAACCUGCGCUGCUAAGGCCCUACCAGCCAUUCAGCCUUGGUUAAGACAGUGACUUGCCGGAGGUCUGGUGGCUGGAUCAUCCUGCUGGCUUCCUCAACUGAAGACACUAUUAGAAAAAGGAGGAAAGAAGACACACUACAUCUAGAACACAGUAUAUUUAAGGGGACUAAAAAAAAGAUACACCAUCACUUUGUGUAAUUUAGGUAGCUGAAGUCCAGAUUAAUUAUUUAAAAUAGUUAUAGCUACAUAUUACAGUAAUGCUUUUGUCUAGAAUGUUCUACGAUGCUUUUUUUAUGUUGAAAGUUUACAUUUUGUAAUUGCACAUGGAAUUGAAGAACAUAUAUCAUUCUGAAUGAUUUGGGAUCAAGUGAGGAAUUGCCUUUUGACAUUUAUAAACAUUUUAGUUUUGUCUUUUGGUGGCUAACGUUAGUCAAAAGAGCCUUCAUGGGGUGAGGUUGCACUGGAGUGUUUCUGUUUCUGACCAUGCAUAUGCGAAAUAUAAAUAUACGCAAAAAUAAUACUGUGCAGUGAUAUUAAAUAUCUGUAGCAUUGCACAGGAAGUUGUUUUCUUUUGAAAGCGUCUGCAUGUUUUUUUGUGGGAUAGAUGCAAAAUAAUUAAAUAACUCGUGUGUUUUCGGAGCCAUGUCUUAAAUUGUUCUGACUUUAGUUUAACGUUUACA